GACCGUCUUCGGGGUCGAUGAAAUUUCGAACCGGCGGUGAAGCGGUCACCAGGCCGCACAGCCCGCGACCCGCGCACCUGCGCGGCUGAUCUGGUGAAACUCCAGGGCCGACGGUCACAGUCCGGAUGGGAGAAGACGCGC
rnacentral:ncRNA from 2 species